UUAUGUUCAAACAUCUGAAACUAGAGCUCAAAAUUUAAAAAAAAAAUGUUAAAAACAGGGGGUUGGCCUAUUCCAUGGCUUCUAGAGAAAAAUAAUGAGGGUUGUCACGGGGUAUGAUGAUAUAGGUCUUGUAGAGGAGAAACAGGCGCAUCUUUUGCGCAAGGUAUCGGAGGGCGCUAUGUUCAAAAAUCUGAAACUAGAGCUCAAAAUUAUAAAAAAAAUAUUAAAAAACAGGGGGGUUGGCCUAUUCUAUGGCUUCUAGAGAAAAAUGAUGAGAGGUGUCACUGGGUAUGACUAUAUAGGUCUUGUAGAGGAGAAAUAGGCGCAUCUUUUGCCAAGGUAUCGAAGGGCGCUAUGUUCAAAAAUCUGAAACUAGUGCUCAAAAUAAAAAAAAAGAAAAUGUUAAAAACAGGGGGGUUGGCCUAUUCCAGGGCUUCUAGAGAAAAACAAUGAGGGGUGCCACGGGGUAUGACUAUAUAGGUCUUGUAGAGGAGAAACAGGCGCAUCAUUUGCGCAAGGUAUCGAAGGGCGCUAUGUUAAAAAAUCUGAAACUAGAACUCAAAAUUUAAAAAAAUAUGUUUAAAACAGGGGGGUUGGCCUAUUCCAUGGCUUCUAGAGAAAAAUAAUGAAGCGUGUCACGGGGUAUGACUAUAUAGGUCUUGAAGAGGAGAAACAGGCGCAUAUUUUGUGCAAGGUAUCGAAGGGCGCUAUGUUCAAAAAUCUGAAACUAGAGCUCAAAAUUUAAAAUAAAAAUUGUUAAAAACAGGGGGUUGGCCUAUUCCAUGGCUUCUAGAGACAAAUAAUAAGGGGUGUCACGGGGUAUGACUAUAUAGGUCUUGUAGAGGAGAAACAGGCGCAUCUUUUGCGCAAGGUAUUGAAGGACGCUAUGUUCAAAAAUCUGAAACUAGAACUCAAAAUUAAAAAAAAAAAUGUUAAAAACAGGGGGGUUGGCCUAUUCCAUGGCUUCUAGAGAAAAAUAAUGAGGGGUGUCACGGGGUAUGACUAUACAGAUCUUGUAGAGAAGAAACAGGCGCAUCUUUUGCGCAAGGUAUUGAAGGGCGGUAUGUUAAAAAAUCUGAAACUAGAGCUCAAAACUUAAAAAAAAAUGUUAAAAACAGGGGGGUUGGCCUAUUCCAUGGCUUCUAGAGAAAAACAAUGAGGAGUGUCACUGGGUAUGACUAUAUAGGUCUUGUAGAGGAGAAACAGGCGCAUCUUUUGCGCAAGGUAUCGAAGGGUGCUAUGUUCAAAAAUCUGAAACUAGAGCUCAAAAUUAAAAAAAAUAUGUUAAAAACAGGGGGGUUGGCCUAUUCCAUGGCUUCUAGAGAAAAAUAAUGAGGCGUCCCGGGGUAUGACUAUAUAGGUCUUGAAGAGGAGAAAUAGGCGCAUCUUUUGCCAAGGUAUCGAAGGGCGCUAUGUUCAAAAAUCUGAAACUAGUGCUCAAAAUAAAAAAAAAGAAAAUGUUAAAAACAGGGGGGUUGGCCUAUUCCAGGGCUUCUAGAGAAAAACAAUGGAAGUGCCACGGGGUAUGACUAUAUAGGUCUUGUAGAGGAGAAACAGGCGCAUCAUUUGCGCAAGGUAUCGAAGGGCGCUAUGUUCAAAAAUCUGAAACUAGAACUCAAAAUUUAAAAAAAUAUGUUAAAAACAGGGGGGUUGGCCUAUUCCAUGGCUUCUAGAGAAAAAUAAUGAGGCGUCCCGGGGUAUGACUAUAUAGGUCUUGAAGAGGAGAAACAGGCGCAUAUUUUGUGCAAGGUAUUGAAGGGCGCUAUGUUCAAAAAUCUGAAACUAGAGCUCAAAAUUUAAAAAAGAAAUUGUUAAAAACAGGGGGUUGGCCUAUUCCAUGGCUUCUAGAGAAAAAUAAUAAGGGGUGUCACGGGGUAUGACUAUAUAGGUCUUGUAGAAGAGAAACAGGCGCAUCUUUUGCGCAAGGUAUCGAAGGACGCUAUGUCCAAAAAUCUGAAACUAGAACUCAAAAUUAAAAAAAAAAAUGUUAAAAACAGGGGGAUUGGCCUAUUCCAUGGCUUCUAGAGAAAAAUAAUGAAGGGUGUCACGGGGUAUGACUAUAUAGAUCUUGUAGAGGAGAAACAGGCGCAUAUUCUGUGCAAGGUAUUGAAGGGCGCUAUGUUCAAAAAUCUGAAACUAGAGCUGAAGAUUUAAAAAAAAAGUGUUAAAAACAGGAGGUUUGGCCUAUUCCAUGGCUUCUAGAGAAAAAUGAUGAGGGGUGUCACGGGGUAUGACUAUAUAGGUUUUGUAGAGGAGAAACAGGCGCAUCUUUUGCGCAAGGUAUUGAAGGGCGGUAUGUUCAAAAAUCUGAAACUUGAGCUCAAAAUUUGAAAAAAAUGUUAAAAACAGGGGGGUUGGCCUAUUCCAUGGCUUCUAGAGAAAAAUAAUGAGGGGUGUCACGGGGUAUGACUAUAUAGGUCUUGUAGAGGAGAAACAGGCGCAGCUUCUGCGCAAGGUAUCGAAGGGCGCUAUGUUCAAAAAUCUGAAACUAGAGCUCAAAAUUUAAAAAAAAAAAUGUUAAAAACAGGGGGGUUGGCCUAUUCCAUGGCUUCUAGAGAAAAACAAUGAGGAGUGUCACUGGGUGUGACUAUAUAGGUCUUGUAGAGGAGAAACAGGCGCAUCUUUUGCGCAAGGUAUCGAAGGGCGCUAUGUUCAAAAAUCUGAAACUAGUGCUCAAAAUAAAAAAAAAGAAAAUGUUAAAAACAGGGGGGUUGGCCUAUUCCAGGGCUUCUAGAGAAAAACAAUGGAAGUGCCACGGGGUAUGACUAUAUAGGUCUUGUAGAGGAGAAACAGGCGCAUCAUUUGCGCAAGGUAUCGAAGGGCGCUAUGUUCAAAAAUCUGAAACUAGAGCUCAAAAUUAAAAAAAAUAUGUUAAAAACAGGGGGGUUGGCCUAUUCCAUGGCUUCUAGAGAAAAAUAAUGAGGCGUCCCGGGGUAUGACUAUAUAGGUCUUGAAGAGGAGAAACAGGCGCAUAUUUUGUGCAAGGUAUUGAAGGGCGCUAUGUUCAAAAAUCUGAAACUAGAGCUCAAAAUUUAAAAAAAAAAUUGUUAAAAACAGGGGGUUGGCCUAUUCCAUGGCUUCUAGAGAAAAAUAAUAAGGGGUGUCACGGGGUAUGACUAUAUAGGUCUUGUAGAGGAGAAACAGGCGCAUCUUUUGCGCAAGGUAUCGAAGGACGCUAUGUUCAAAAAUCUGAAACUAGAACUCAAAAUUAAAAAAAAAAAUGUUAAAAACAGGGGGGUUGGCCUAUUCCAUGGCUUCUAGAGAAAAAUAAUGAGGGGUGUCACGGGGUAUGACUAUAUAGAUCUUGUAGAGGAGAAACAGGCGCAUAUUCUGUGCAAGGUAUUGAAGGGCGCUAUGUUCAAAAAUCUGAAACUAGAGCUGAAGAUUUAAAAAAAAAUGUUAAAAACAGGAGGUUUGGCCUAUUCCAUGGCUUCUAGAGAAAAAUAAUGAGGGGUGUCACGGGGAAUGACUAUAUAGGUCUUGUAGAGGAGAAACAGGCGCAUCUUUUGCGCAAGGUAUUGAAGGGCGGUAUGUUCAAAAAUUUGAAACUAGAGCUCAAAAUUUAAAGAAAAAAUGUUAAAAACAGGGGGGUUGGCCUAUUCCAUGGCUUCUAGAGAAAAACAAUGAGGAGUGUCACGGGGUAUGACUAUAUCGGUCUUGUAGAGGAGAAACAGGCGCAUCUUUUGCACAAGGUAUCGAAGGGUGCUAUGUUAAAAAUUUAAAAUUAGAGCUCAAAAUUAAAAAAAAAAUGUUAAAAACAGUGGGUUGGCCUAUACCAUGGCUUCUACAGAAAAAUAAUGGUGGGUAGUAGUGUAAAAAGGAGGAUUCUGCUGCAUUUGCCAUUUUAUAAGCGCAAAUCCUGCAUAGGGACCCCAACCUCAAACAUAAAAUGCAAAUUCAUUGUGUUUCAACUAGUCUAAGGGUAGAAACAAGGAUAUGGCUUUUUGUAAACAAUGGUAGAUACACCUUAAAGGGAAGUAAUCCUAGGGGUAGAUACAAAAAUAUGGCUUUCGUACAGAAGAUGGAGGAACUCAGAAGUUAAAAAAUCGUAGACGACGAUUUUAUUAAUGACAAUGUUUUUAAAGGAAAAGGCAAAGGACCAGAGCGUGGAAAUUCUAAAAUGGAAGGAACUCCCAACCUGGGUAAAAUAUAAAAUUCUAGAAGUGGUAGAAGUAGAUGGGAAGUUUGGGAGGAGUAAGAUCUUCACCUUGAAAAACAGAGAAGGAGAAACGACAAGGGUAUGGGCCUGCAGUAGUCUGAACAGAGAGAAGGAACCCUUGGAUGGAGCCCUCGUGAGAAGUAUAGGCUUAAAAGUUAGUAAAAUGACCAAACAGGAGUACUUUUCUUGCGAUCUUGUAAGAAAUUAAUUAAAAAAAAAAAAUAAAAAAUGGGUUGGAUGGGGUACAAAAAAAAUUUCCAUCCGAUAUUUCUGCCGGUUCGGAAAUUUUUUUUUUUUUUUUUUUUGUGUUUUUUUUAUGCUUGAAACGGAGCACAUCGUGAAGUGAAGCAGAACGGAACACAUCGUGAAACGAUGUGUGUAGUGAAGCGUAAUGAAAUUAUGUGUGACGUUUUUACGGCGCAUGCGCAUUAAGGUCCUCACUAAAAGUGGUGGAAUGUUGUCGCAGCUGAUCUUUCUCAUCAUAGUAGUUCUUGAGGCAGCUUGUGAUCUUACCAAACUCAGCAUCAUCAAUUUGUUCAUCAUCAGUCAAAGCAGUACUAAUACAUUGUUCAACCAAGGAUUUUGUGGACUGUGCCAAUCGCAAGCUGUCGCGGUGUUUUUUCUUCUUUUUCAUGAUACGCCUUGAGAUCAGUGUGAGUACCAUCACGCCAGUGGCACUCAAGCAAGCAAGGGAUCCUAGGGGAAGGGAGGCUAUAAUACCUAUACCGGUCAAAGCUGAACCCAUGGUGCAGCUGUCAACAUCAAACUGGCUACGGAACACACACCCUGUGCUAUAGACACUACUUUAUCGAGUCGUUUGUAGAUCUUCAAGGUACGUUGAUACUUAAGAAUAUCCGCGUUGAGUUGGUCUUCCAUACAUUCGACUCUGGUCUGCCGGUAACCAGAAACUAGAGCUCAAAAUUAAAAAAAAAGAAGUUAAAAACAGGGGGGUUGGCCUAUUCCAUGGCUUGUAGAGAAAAAUAAUGAGGGGUGUCACGGGGUUUGACUAUAUAGGUAUUGUAGAGAAGAAAUAGGCGCAUCUUUUGCGCAAGGUAUCGAAGGGCGCUAGGUUCAAAAAUCUGAAACUAGAGCUCAAAAUUAAAAAAAAAGUGUUAA